AUUGAACGCUGGCGGCAGGCCUAACACAUGCAAGUCGAGCGGAGCGGUGGUCGGGUGCGUAAUGCUAAGGAAUCUGCCUGGUAGUGGGGGAUAAGGUCCGGAAAUGGGCGCUAACACCGCAUACUCUUACAUUAGCCUAGGCCGGUUUAGCUAGUUGGUGGGGUAAAGGCCAACCAUGGCGACGAUCCGUAACUGGGCCGAGAGGAUGAGCAGUCACACUGGAACUGUGACACGGUCCAUACGCCUACGGGAGGCAGCAGUGGGGAAUAUUGGACAAUGGGCGAAAGCCUGAUCCAGCCAUGCCGCGUGUGUGAAGAAGGUUUUCGGAUCGUAAACCUCUGUUGUUGGGGAAGCGGUAUCUGAACAGAAAGCCACGGCUAACUACGUGCCAGCAGCCGCGGUAAUAC
rnacentral:rRNA from 1 species